rnacentral:tRNA from 1 species
GGGCCUAUAGCUCAGAUGGUUAGAGCGCACGCCUGAUAAGCGUGAGGUCGAUGGUUCGAGUCCAUUUAGGCCCA